GGAUUAGAUACCCUGGUAGUCCACGCCGUAAACGAUGAGAACUAGAUGUUGGGAAGUAUAACUUUUUAGUGUCGCAGCAAACGCGUUAAGUUCUCCGCCUGGGGAGUACGGCCGCAAGGCUAAAACUCAAAGGAAUUGACGGGGGCCCGCACAAGCGGUGGAGCAUGUGGUUUAAUUCGAUGCAACGCGAAGAACCUUACCUACCCUUGACAUACAGAGGAUUUUCUAGAGAUAGAGAAGUGCCUUCGGGAACUCUGAUACAGGUGCUGCAUGGCUGUCGUCAGCUCGUGCCG
rnacentral:rRNA from 1 species